rnacentral:rRNA from 1 species
CAGGCCUAACACAUGCAAGUCGAGCGGUAGCAGGAAGUGCUUGCACUUUGCUGACGAGCGGCGGACGGGUGCGUAACACGUAGGAAUCUGCCUGGUAGUGGGGGAUAGCCCGGAGAAAUCCGGAUUAAUACCGCAUACGCCUUACGAGGGAAAGCAGGGGAUCUUCGGACCUUGCGCUAUCAGAUGAGCCUGCGUCGGAUUAGCUGGUUGGAGGGGUAAAGGCCUACCAAGGCGACGAUCCGUAGCUGGUCUGAGAGGAUGAUCAGCCACACUGGGACUGAGACACGGCCCAGACUCCUACGGGAGGCAGCAGUGGGGAAUAUUGCACAAUGGGCGAAAGCCUGAUGCAGCCAUGCCGCGUGUGUGAAGAAGGCCUUAGGGUUGUAAAGCACUUUCAGCGAGGAGGAAAGGUUAAAGGUUAAUACCCUUUGGCUGUGACGUUACUCGCAGAAGAAGCACCGGCUAACUCCGUGCCAGCAGCCGCGGUAAUACGGAGGGUGCGAGCGUUAAUCGGAAUUACUGGGCGUAAAGCGUGCGUAGGCGGCCUUUUAAGUUGGAUGUGAAAGCCCCGGGCUCAACCCGGGAACUGCAUCCAAAACUGGAAGGCUCGAGUGCGGGAGAGGAGUGUGGAAUUUCCUGUGUAGCGGUG